AUAAAAAAAAUUUGUCGUAUGUCUAUUUCGGAAACGUGAGUUUCUAUUUUGGAAACGUAAGUUUCCAUCGUGUUUUCAAACCUAGAUUUUUAGGAAACGUGUUUCCGUGAUGUUUUUCGUGUUUCCGGAGAGUUUCCGUUUCCGAAACGUUUCGGAAACGAGAAACGCACCUCAGAGCGAGUUUCCAUGCAACCUAGCUUAUAACUGUACAGUCGUACUCCUCAACGUGAAACAAAAAUAAUUCCAAUUAAACCGGAACAGUAUACCUAACUAAACCUGACUAACUAAACCGUACAUUCAACAGUUUCUCUGCUGUAGCAGCAAGGGCAAAAUGAUCAAAUUUCAGCUGAAAAGACAAAACGUGAAAACCACCUUUCACUUUGUCAGUCCUUAAAAAUAAAACAUGAUCAAAGGGUGUGGCCUGCAAAUUACCCUAAAAUUAAAAGCAUACAAGUUCUGUAACCAAGGUUGGCACAAUGUAUUCUCUUGUGUUACUUAAACUAUGAUGGAGAUCUUUCCGUUUGCCUAGUUU
rnacentral:sRNA from 1 species